GGUUAGCUGUAUCAGUUUCACCCAAAAAGCACAGGAACUGAAGGUGGGGGAAUCUGUCUUCUUUCAAAAGGGCUUCCCACUGUCCAGUUCUCUAGAAUUUUCUUCCAGUGUUCUGCCUGUCCACAGGUCUUUCCUUCUUUCUCUCCUUCUUCUUUUUCUGUUUCAAAGA